CCUACGGGGGGCAGCAGUGGGGAAUAUUGGACAAUGGGGGCAACCCUGAUCCAGCCAUGCCGCGUGUGUGAAGAAGGCCCUCGGGUUGUAAAGCACUUUCAGUGAGGAAGAACGCCUGGUGGUUAAUACCCAUCAGGAAAGACAUCACUCACAGAAGAAGCACCGGCUAACUCCGUGCCAGCAGCCGCGGUAAUACGGAGGGUGCGAGCGUUAAUCGGAAUUACUGGGCGUAAAGCGCGCGUAGGUGGCUUGAUAGGCCGGUUGUGAAAGCCCCGGGCUCAACCUGGGAACGGCAUCCGGAACUGUCAAGCUAGAGUGCAGGAGAGGAAGGUAGAAUUCCCGGUGUAGCGGUGAAAUGCGUAGAGAUCGGGAGGAAUACCAGUGGCGAAGGCGGCCUUCUGGACUGACACUGACACUGAGGUGCGAAAGCGUGGGUAGCAAACAGGAUUAGAUACCCUAGUAGUC
rnacentral:rRNA from 1 species